UCUGAGCGGUACAGCCCUCACAGUCGUGCCGCCACUCUGCCGUCGAGCGGGCGCCACACGCAGGCUGCCUCGCGCCCUAUCACGCGUCCUGUGACUCCCGCGCCGCCCCUGCCAAGCCUCCUGCAGCCCCGCACCGCACCCUCUGGUGACUCGGGGCGUGGAGGAAAAUACUGGAGGGAGAGAUACAGGUGGAGAGAAAAGCGGAGGAGGAGGAGGAAGAAGCAGUGGAGGAGGAAGAAGAAGAAGAAGUGGAGGAAAGAAACUACUGGAUUAACCACAAUUCUACCACAAUCUUCCCAAGUGUGGUGAAUGCUGAGAGGGGGGUGGUGGUGGUGGCGGCUCCCAGACUAGCGAGGGCGGAGGGGGAGGAGGAGGAGGAGGAGGAAGAGGAAGAAGGGGAGGAGGGCGGCGGCGAGAGGCGCCGCGCCAUGGAAGACUCCAGGGCCACGCUCCCCGAGGUGCUGAAGGUGGCCACGCCGCCCCGCCUGCCCCCCGCCCACGCCGCCGCCGCCACGGAGAGGCGCGCGUCCCCUGCCCGCCUCGCCGCUGAGCACGCCGCCGCCGCCGCCGCCGCCGCGGCCGAACAGCAGCGCCGCAUCCCGCCGUCUGGCGGCCUGCAGGGCGCCUGGCCUGAGCCGGCGGCCCUCGGGGUGGAGAGUGCCAGGGGGGAGGAGAAGGGUGCCGGGGGCGAGGUGGAGUGCCCCAGGGGCAGCCUGCCUCCCCCUGUGGACCGUGGGCGAGGCUUCCUUCCCGGCGGGAGGGGGGAGGCGGCCCGGUGUUGCCCUGAGAAGCCCCACACGCCGCCCGGUGACAGGAAGGACCUCAGCGGGCCGCCAGACGCCGCCGCGGAGGCCUGGCGGGUACCGCCGCGGCCCCGCGAGCACAAGAGCCUCGCCCCGCGGAGGGUGGAGAGUCCCCUGUCUCAGCUGAGCAAUCCUCGCCACGACGCCCACCUCGCCCACGCCAUCAGGGAGCUGCACGAGGAGGAGUUCGGCCUUGACGCCGUACUGCUGGCGGAGGGAGGCCACGUGGGCGCCCACUGCGCCGUGCUGGCCGCCGCCUCGCCCUUCCUCAAGAGUCUGCUGCUGCACGCCACCGACCACCCCGCCAUUAUCUCCGUCACAGACACCUCCCUGGAGGCUCUGCAGGCCCUGGUGACCUGCCUCUACACGGGCACCGUCCCUCACGGCGUCAGCCUCCAUCACCUCGCUGAGCUCGCCCGCCUGUUGAGGAUGGAUGACCUGAGCGCCGUGUUGCAGAAGGCCUUCCUGGCUCAGGGCGGGCCCCUGCUGGAGCUGAGCCGUCCCCAGGGCCCUCCUCCGCGCCCCCCGCACGCCUCGCACCUGGGCCACCCUGACUACCGGCGGGAGCGCUCCAGCAAGAAGGUCCGCAGCAGCCGCCUGGACGAGAUCCUGUACAGGAAGCUCAACGUGGACCACCUGGCGCCCUCAGACGCCCCAGACCCCUGCCCUGGCCCGCCCGCCGCUGCAGAGUGCCCCCGGGUGCCGGGGCUUGAUCCCCCGCGCGGGGCGGCGCCGGACCUGCGCGGUGGCAUUCUGGGGGAGCUGCUGACCAAGGCCGACCCGCUGCGGAGCAUGUUCGCGGCGGGCAGCUACGCGGCCUUCCCCGACCUGGACCUGGACGCGUCCCUCAAACCCCUCAACCUGUCCAAGGCGGGCAAGGCGCACGCCGCCUCCACCGCCGCCGACCUCUCCCCCUCGCAGGGCUGCCACACCAGCACGGCCUCCUGCAGCCUCAACUCCAGCCUGGCCUCGCAGACAGACCUCAGCCUGGGGGGCCUCUCCUCUCUGGCUCCCUCGCUACCCGCCGCCAUGACGGGCCUGCUGGCGCCCCUCACGCCCUCCAACAUGAUCUCACCCACGGCCCUCGCCACUCUCACCUCAUCCUCCAUGCUGGCCUCGCUCGGGGCGCAGCAGGCGCUAGCCAAGGCCUCCACCACUACCACCACCACCACCAGCAGUAGUACCAGUAGCAGCUCCAGCAAAAACCGCAAUGGUAGCAAAGGCAUUAUCAUCAGCGGCAGCAACAGCAGCGGCAGCAGCGCCCUCAGCAGCAGCCCGUCUAGUCAGCACGCCUUGCCGCUGCUGUACACCCUGAAGAGCGGCCUGCUGAGCCCCGAGGCAGCCAAGGAGGUGUACGAGCAGCUCAAGCUGCACCCACACCUGGCCUCCCUGUCAGGCCUCGACACCCUGCACGGCCUCUCCUCCCUUGGGGCCUCGGCGGGCCUGCACACCCUGGCCGGCCUGCACUCCCUCUCCUCCCCCCACUCUUUCCCCGCGCUCUUCCCCUUCCUGGCCCACGAGGGCGGCGUGUCGACCCUCGGCGCCAAGGACUCCCACGAGGCGCGGGGCGGCCACAGCCCCAGGGAGGGCAGCCCCGAGGACCAGGGGGCGCUGAACCUGAGCAGCACCGCCAACUCCAGUGGGGACUCCCCCAGACCUGCGGGGGGAGAGGAAAGAACCACCCCAGACUCUAGCACCCCCGCCGGCUACAACCCCCACGGUGAUGAGAGGGAAGGGGGCGAGGAGGCCAAGAGGCGCUCCCCCUCCCCAGAGGGCGCCCGCUACACCACCUGCCACACCCCCCACACCCCCCACCACCUUGCCAACAGCUUGAUGGAUUCUGGGCAAGGCGAGUGCCCGGGUGGGGGCGGCCCCCUGCCUCCUGACGGCCUCCACCCGGGGCUGACUCACCCCGGGGCCUCGCUGCCUCUGUUGCUGAUGAGCUCCGGGGCGGGGUUGGCAGGGCUGUCCCAGGCCCACCCAGACCUGCCCAAGACCGUGGACGUGUCCGUGGAGACCACGCCCAUCACCAAGCAGGAGCCGCCCCUCGUGUCGCUGGAUGACAACGAUGGUGAUGACAACGGCAUUGAGGUCAUCGAGGAGAUACCCUGCAACAGAAACACUCUCAUUCACGUCCGCAAGCCUUUCUACCACACCGGCAUCACCACGAUGGGGCGCAAGAGGAAGGGAUGCGGUGAGUGUGAGGGGUGUCAGGUGGUGGAGGAUUGUGGCCAGUGUCGGUUCUGCAGGGACAAGGCAAAGUUUGGAGGCCCUAAUCGUCUCAAGCAAGUGUGUGUCUACAAGCGCUGUGUCCUUGCCGAGAUGGAGCCUGAGGAUGCCAAAAAGAGGAGGAAGACUGCCGGCAAGAAGGGGCGAGGGAAGUGUGGAGGCUGUGACGGCUGCCAACGGACGCUAGAUUGUAAUGAGUGUUACGCCUGCCUACACAACGCCGCUGCCCAGCCUCCAGCGCGCCGCAAGGUGUGUGAGAUGCGAGUGUGUGAGCAGCAGCAGAUGGAGGAGGUGCGGGCAGCCCUGAGUGUGGCCGGUGAGCCGUCGCCAUACUCCACGGAUUCCCUGAUGGCGGAGACCUUUGGCAUCAGCACAUCGGGCGCCUCCAGCCCCACCCCGGAUGGCCAGGCCAGCACCCACAAUGACAAGAUGAAACUCAUGCGCAAGAUGCUGAAGAAAAAGUUUGCGCAGCCCUACAGCAGGGUAAGCCCCCCAAAGGUGCGGACCAAAUACUACUGUGGCGAGUGUCCCGGCUGCCAGACCACCGUGCCAUGUGGGAACUGUUUGUACUGCGAGGACAUGCCCAAGUUUGGCGGGCCGGGGAGGUACAGGCAGAAGUGUGUCAAGCAGCUGUGUGUGUACCACCCUCGCCUUCAGGCCCUCAAGCUCUCCAACCGCACCAGACUGACCUACGAUGAACAGCACAUAUCCCAGGAAACUCUCUCCCAGCUGGGCACCGUCAUCCCUGCCCCCAGUGACGAAGCCAUUGAUCUUGGGUGCGGGGACAGCCGGGAGCACCAGGAGGAGGUGGAGAGCCUGGAGGGGACGGAUCAGGCGGAUGAGGUGGAUGAUGUCACGGAAGGAGAGGACAGCAAUGCUACCAUCCAUGUGCUGGAUGAAGGAGAGAGCAAGGAGACCAAGGAGGAGCCUCACUUUGGGCCAGACCGCUGCUCCCCUCUCUCUCACUCCCGGCCACACCUCCCAGUGUCCUCCUCCUCCCAACUCAUCCACCACUCCCUUGCUGGCCUCCCUCACUCCUCUGUCCUCCCUGCCUCCUCGGUCCUCACUCCCGCAGCUGCUGUCUUGUCAUCUGCCGCUGCUGCCGUUCUCUCUUCUGCUGCCGCUGCCGCUGCCGCUGUCAUGCCUCCGUCGGCAUUCUCCUCUGCUGCCGCUGCUGCCGUCAUAUCAUCAGCAGCAGCCGCCAAAUCCACAUCAUCAAUUCUCUCAUCCGUUGUUGACAUUUCCGCUGUUGCUGCACGGUCACGCCUGCCGGGCCUCCCCCACCCUAGCAUCCUCCCCCACGGUGCUGUCCUGCCACCCGUCCUGCCCCCUGCCACCCUGCCCCCCACCACCCUGCCCCAUGUCACCCUGCCACACUCUGCCGCAGCACUGCUCCACACCGCCCCACUCUCCCACACUGGAGUCCUGCCACCCUCCACACCCUUGCCACACACCCAUGUCCUACCAUCCACCCCCACCCUGCCACUCCCGGCAGCCAUGAUAUCCACCCCCAGCCUGACAUCAACGGCAACACUCCCGUCUACUCCCAUCUUGUCCUCCACUGCACGCUUGUCCACUCCAACCAUCACUUCCACAGCACUCCCUGCCACUCCCACCCUGCCACUUACUGCAGCUCUCCUGGCCACCCCUACCCUCCCCCUGACAGCCACACUUCCUGCCGCUACCACCACCACCCUCCCAUCUUCUACUCCACCAGUGCCAGUUAUUUCUACUCCGUCAUCUUCUGUGGCACGCCCAUCUACUCCGACCCUGCCAUCCACUACAGCCCUCCCAGCCACACCAGCCCUCCCUCCCACUGCAGCCCUCCCAUCCACCCCCAUCCUCCCACUCACUCCCCUCAUGUAUCCAUCUAUCAAGCCCCCAACCACUUCUCUCCCUCCCACAGUCCCUCUCCCAUCACUCCUCCCUCCCACUCCACCCAUCUCCCUCAUAACACCACCCGCCGGAAUGCCACCCACCUUCCCAACUCUUAUCCGACGCUCCACUCCCACUCCACCUCCCAUGUCUCCCACUAACCACCCAGACAGCAGCACCAGCCCUGCCCCCUCCUCCUCCUCCACCACAACCACCACCACUGUCACCACUGCCUCCACCUUCCCCGUCUUCAACACCAUUGGCACUAACACCACUCCUGCCACUAGUGUUGUCCUGCCUGCCACUGUUCCUAUUGCUGUCACCACCACAACCACCACUAGCGUCUGUUCGCCCGUCUCACCACUGGCCACCACCACCACCACUGUCAUCACCAACCCAGUCUCUCCAAUUACCAAAGCUGCAACUCCACCACUAAAUGUCACCACUGCUACUACUACCACUACCACUUCACCACCACCACCACCACCACCACCACUUACUGAGAACCAAAACGACAGUCCAGCUUCCCCCACCACCACUGCUGCCGCCACUACCACCACUACAGCCAGCAGUCCCUCCCCACCACCUACCACCACAGCCACCACCACCACUACAGUUCUACCCUCCACCACAGUAUCAGAGAGCACCAGUAGAGCCACACCACCUCCAUCACCACCACCUACUGUCCCCACCACACCACCCUCCACCCCGCCCUCCACCAGCACUCCUGCCAAUCCACCCUCGCCUACCCUCAUGCCAGCACCAAAAGAAGUGGAAACAGCAGCAGUGAAUGAGACAGAGGGAAACGAGGAAAGGAACGACGAGGAAUAUGAGGGAGAGACCAUCGAUCUUACUGAGGGUUCCGACAUCCCUUCCCCUCCCUCCACCCCAUCGCCCCAGCCCAAGUCACGGGGUAGGAUGCAGUUCCGGGGCCAUGGGCGGGGCCAGGUGAAGAAUAACAAGACCAACACCACCAUAGAGACACGCCAACAGACAGCAGUGAGGAGGGGCAGCAGGAGAAGGACUACAAGAUUCAAACUAGACCCUGAUGACAAUUCUGAGCUUAUGUUUCCAGACUUUGAGGAGAUGCUGGAGGAACUGGAAGCAGGAGGGAGGAAGGAUACCAGCAGUGGGGGAGCAGCAGCACCAGUAGGAGCAGCACCACCAGCAGUAGCAGCAGCAGGUACCACUCACAAGGACUGCCGAGAGAAGAAGGCCCCACAAGACACCCCAAAGGACCCCCAAGUGAACAGAGUGGACACCUCGAGCCCCCUGGUCACCAUGAUGGGUGCACGGGCCCACCUGGGGCAGCGGGCCAAGCUGGCAUAUCCCGGCGUGGGGUGUCGGCCAGGCAAGAUGGUGAGCCGCGCACAGAACACCGAGCCAGACAUCUUUGAGUUCCAGGAGGGGCGGGAGUGUGUGGUAGAGGGGAAGGUGGAGGCGGGGGAGGCAGUGGCCCUCAAGCGUGCCGGCCCCUGCGCCUUCCCUGAGGAGGAGCUGAGUCAGGGCGGCCGUGAUGUGAAUGAGAAUGUUGGGGCCAUGAGUGAGGCCGCCUCGGCAUAGCAGUGAGAGGCCAGUGCCGCCGCCGCACCCCGGAAGUACAACCCCCACUCGCCCCCGGCCAGUGGUCCUAGAUGAUACUUGUACAGCACCACACGCCACACACACCCACGCCACCGCUGUGUGUGUGUGCGUGCGUGUGUGUGUGUGUUUGUGUGUGUGUAAGGUGUGCUGUAGGCUUAGAUGUUUGUGUCAAGACAGUGAGAGAGAGAGAGAGAGAGAGAGAACUGGGAAGAAAGACUUAUGGGUGGAGCUUGAGGGAGUGUUGAGUUGUACUGUGCUUAGUUGCUCUGUUACUCACUGAGAGAGAGAGAGAGAGAGAGAGAGAGAGAGAGAUAGAGAGAGAGAGAGAGAGAGAGAGAGAGAGAGUAAGUAGCAGUGAGACAUGCUUCCUUCUGGGGCCUCUAGUCCAUGUCCUGCCCCUAUGUGCCCCUGUAGUUGUCCCUGUGUCCCUUGCCUCCCCUGCCUCACCCACCACCACCACCACCACCACCCUGCUGCCGUCUGCCCGAGCAAGACACUAGUAUACGAGCUGCCGCCGCCGCAGUGUGGUGUGGGGCGCCUCUCGCUGGUUAUAUUUUUGUGGACGAAUGUUGUGGGAGUGUUGUUGGUCUUAGUGUGUGGCGCGGCGAUGUGUGAGGGAGGAGUGGGGAGGCAGUGACGCACACCACCACCACCACCGCCACCACCACUGCUAGAUUCAUGUUGACUUUUCCUGCUGCUGGGGUGGAGUGUCUGGUGAGGAUUAGGUUAUGGUGACCCCGGGUGUGUGUGUGUGUGUGUGUGUGUGUGUGUGUGUGAUGAAGAGAAGGAUGUAAAUUUUCUCGUUACCUGUUGUACCGCUGCUAUGUGUGUGUGUGUGUGUGUGUGUGUGUGUGUGUGUGUGUGUGUGUGUGUGUGUGUGUGUGCAUGCGUGCGUGUGCGUGCGUGUGUGUGUGUGUUUCCCUUAUAUGCCAGUUGUUUCCUACUAAGACAUCACUUGUGGUUUUUUUUUUUUUUUCUUUUGUAUUAUUUAUUUGUCUUGCAGUGAUGAGUGUCCUUGUGUUGAGUGCAGUGUUCCUCCCCACAUGCCUGCAAAGCUGUGUCACAUUUCAAAGACUGUGCAUGGGCCAUUACAACACACACAAUUACUCUGAGUUGUCUUGUCACAGCUGUUGUCACACUGGGAAGGAUAAAUCAGGAUACCAGUUACCAUUCAGCCACUCAUCUGCAAGCCUGAGUGAGUGACUGGUGGGGCAACUGCAAGCAUGAGACUGUGAUGGAUGUGUGUGAGGGUGAGGCAGUAAUAUCAACAGCCUCCUUGCCAUUCAUACACAGGCAGGAUGUUCUAAAGAGAUUUGUUGUGUUAGGCAUGGUGCUGAACAGACAGGCUUACUGUGGCAUGAAGUGUAUCCCUUUAGUCUCAUGCAGUGUUAGAAGAAUUAAUCUUUGUGAUGUUAACUCUAGGGAUUCCAUAGUGACGAGUAUUGCAGUGUUGCUAGCCAGACACAGUGACAGACUAACUAAACUUUUACUGCACAGGAAAAUAUCAAUCCUUCCAUUAUUUUUAGGCUCAAAGAAAAGGGUUAUUUUACCUUUUUUAAAUAGUUUUAAAAAUGCAUGAUUGGUGUAUUAUUUGUAUGAAGUGGACAGAGUGUUCUUUCUUUUGUUAUUGAGUGGUGUGUUGGUGUGAGUGUGUAAAGUGGUGUGACAAGGGGCUCUCUGGUGCCUGACACUGGCUGGCUGGCUGAAGGAUGUGCACUGUUACUCUGUGUGUGUAGGAGAAGAGUUUGAUCAGAAGAAUAAAUAGUGAUGUAAAUGAAAAAUGGUGUUCUGUUAUUUCAAAUUGAGGGUUAAGGUGGAUGAAUUAGUAGUUUUGCGUUGCAAAAUUACAAGUUUGACAAUAAUUGGCUUUUUGUCAGUAAAAAUGAGAAUGUGAGGGUUUCUGUUAAUCAUCUAUGUUGGACAAUGAAACCAUGUGAUUUUAUUCAUGUAGGUGGAUUUCUGCAGCAAAAUUACAGGAAUUAUGAGAGAAUAAAUGGCUUUUUAUUUAUUUUGUAGAAUGACAAAUUGUGACAAGACAAAUCAUUUUACCUGGCUAUUUACACUUCUAGUGAGACAAGAGGUGGUAACGAGAUCACAUUUCAUCCACUCUUUCCACCAUCAACCAGAGUGUAUCUCAUGUACUUAGAAAAAUACUCAACACACACACACACACACACACACACACACACACCAGUCUUCCCUAUACCCACACUGCUAAGAGAAGAGAACAUUACACCAGGCACUACCCAAGGAAACAGUUGAUAUACAGGAUGACUGGUAUGAAAGUGUUUCCCCGCGCGAGUACCCUGGGCGACCCGAUGAUGACCUGAGAAUGUAGCGGGACCGAGCCAGGCCGCGCGAGGCUCAGCAAAGCCCCUGCUAUAGCCACAAAUCCCCAGCCUUUCUGUAAUACUACACAACGUUGCCAAACAAUACCGCACAGUGUUCAGUGUAAGUUUCAUUAAAGCAAAUUGAAAAGA
rnacentral:misc_RNA from 1 species